AGCUAAGGAAAUGGAGGACAUGUCCAUGUGGUUAGAAUCGAUUGCAAAGCAAAGGCUACACUCAUCAUCACAAUAGCGUUUCAACAAUGUCUUCUUUUGACGUCGCAGCAAGUUGAAGUGACAUAAAAGAGACCUGAUUUACUCGGUAACUUGCAAGACUGAGGAAGACAGGGAAGGGGGAGAGACACACGAUAACAAGAAGAGGUAUAUUGAAAAAUAUAUCAAGAGUUUAGCUAACUUGUACUAGAGAACUGGAUAAAGAAAACAUUUAAACCAACGGUACUGUCCUGUUAUAUGAACUUUGCUCCACAUUUGGCACCGACCCCUCAUCAGUCUCAUUCUCUCCAGACAUCUCCUCUAAGGAUUUUCCAUUUGAUUCAGGGACCAAGAAAGUAAACAAUAUGCCGAAGAAGUUGACGACACCGAGGACAAGGAGUGAAUUCUUCACACCGAUACCUGCAGGGUACCCUGCAUCGGCCUUGGCCUUGUCCUGGUUCUGUGCCAAAUAUAAGAACCCGAAUGCACCCACAAUUGCUCCGAGCUUCCCAGAAGCUGCUGAUAUACCGUGGCAAGUGGACCUUAACCUCGCAGGGAAAAUCUCGGCUGGUACAACAAAUGUGGUGGCAUUAGGUCCAAAGUUUGCAAAGAAGAAGGUCAAUGAGUAGAUAACCACGAAUCCAAUUCGGUUGUCCUUCUGGGUCCAGUGGUUGUAAGGAAUGGCCAGCGCAAACAUGAACACUGUCAUGAAGAAGAAACCCAUCAAUUGGAUUGCAAACCGUCCUAUUCUGUCGAUAAAAGCCACUGUGAACCAGUAGCCUGGGACAGUACUGCAUAGAGCGAUUAGUGUUUGCGCCCUCGCAAUUCUAUAAACCUCAUCGAUGGCAUUCAUGGUCUGUGCUUUGGGAAUCCAUCCGAUCGCGCUAAAUAUAUCCUUUUGGAAAAGAUUUUGGCUGUAGAAUGCAAUGUCAAGCAAGAACCACGUGGUAGUUGUUCCAAGCAAAUGGAGUCCAUGGCGAUGAAGGAACUUUUUUGUGAACAGACCAAAUUGAUUGGACUUGUCCUCGGUCAGUUGCUCGACCUUCUGCUCUUCCGCCUCAAGAUCCACCUGCAGAACUCUUGACAUAUCAGUGGCAGCCUGUUUUGCAUUCUUGGCGACAAGCGCAGUGUAACGGGCAGUUUCAGGCAUCUUCAUCCUCCAGUAGUAGGUAAGUGCAGCGGGAAGAGCUCCAGCCAUUACAAUUAUACGCCAAAUGUAGUCAGCUUGUGGGACAGUUGAGGCAACAGCAUUAACCUCGUAAGAUGGAGCAUCAAACCUGGCCUUAAAUGCAGAUGAUACAAUUAUAGCAAAUAUGCCACCAGCCAAAAUUCCAAAACCUUGCAUCGCAAAUACUGCAGCAAUGAAGGCACCACGAGUCUUCUUGUUAGCAUAUUCAGACAUGAUGGUGGCAGAGUGGAUAGUCACCACCAAUACCGAACCCGAGCCAGAAACGAAAGAAGCAAAGGGUCGACAUGACAGCCUUAGCAUCAUGGCUAAAGAAAGACCCGAGGCAACCGAACAUAUGACCAUGAGCAUAAGAGUCAUACCAUACACUUUCUUCCUCCCCAUCUUGUCACCAAGCCAGCCAAAGAAGAGCUGCCCCGACAGAGUUCCGCAGAACGCCACACCAUUAACAGCAGCCGCUACAUUGGGAGGCAAACUACCAGGCUUCGCUGCUCCAUCGACAUGGUAAUAUAUGCGGCCAAGCAAUUUGGUGACAAGGGAUAUGCAGAAGAGAUCAUAGGCAUCGGUGAAGAAUCCCAUGCCAGCAAUAAUAAUUGCAGUGAAGUGAUACCAUUGUGUUUUUGCCACAUCAAGCGCAUUGAGAACCUGUAAUUCCUUGGCCAUGACCCCUAGCUUAUCUAGGAAAACGCCUUUCCUUGCUCUCUCUUUUCUCUGCAAAAAUUGAAACCGGAUUAAAAACCAUGCAAUAUCACAAGGAUCCUUAGAUGAUAAUCGAAAAUUUAAAUGAGUUUGCUAAAGAGCCGGUGAUAAUUGAAAUUCCAAAUGGCGUCACCAAUAAAAACAGAACACAGAAAAACAAACAAACAAAGAAAGCCAUUCUCACUCUUCACGUUACUUGGGGACGGUAGGACUAAUUCUCAAGGCAGCAAUAAAAUACGUAGAUUCUAAUUUUGCUAAAUACAAGUAUUGGAUUCUUUCACACAAUUUUUUAUACAAUGAAGAAAACAGCAUAUACAAAGAUUUUUCGGAAGAAGUAUCCUGUUAGUCAAUGGUAGGUCCAACAUCUACUCUAUUUCUAAUCACCUCACUUAAUUUAUCUUUCUGGAGAGCAAGGAGCAGUGUAUGAGACAAGUGAAAGAAAGUAAAAGACACAAGUAGAGACAAAAGAGCAGUUCCUCUAUUUCACACAGAUCUUUGUGGUGGUAACUAUGAAACAUACAAAUAAAUAAAUAGCCCAUUAAUCUUCUAGAAAGUAAAAACUUCCAUGACGAUAGGAAAUUUAAAUUAAAAGACAAGGAGAACUCAUAGUAGCUAAUAAGAAAUCUCUGCAAGAAAAUCUAAAUUUAAAGAGAGAAAAAAUAAGAGCAGGGGUAGAAAAGAAACACCUCUACUAUUUGAUAAAUCGAAAGUACUGUUAACCAAAAUUAUCAAGCUACACAAGUGGAUUCAGGCAGGAUGGAUGGACAAGAAGUAUUAUUAUGUUUUUUCAACAAAACAAGAACAUGGGAGAGAGUUUCCUUAAUUACUCUACGUAGAGUUUUAAAUAGUAAUAUCAAAUAAUUAAAAGCUUUGAUUCUCACAAGAACAUUUAUUUAAAGUGAUGCUUAGCUUUUCCAAGUGAUGGGGUGAGAUCCUAGAAUCAGACUAGUAAUAAUAAAUUAAUUAAGAAGAUCAACCGGCGAUUAUGGCAGCAUUUGUGGACCAAAAAAAUCAAAACUGAAUCACAAUUUGCAGCAAGGAAGUUGAAAUAUAGAUCCAGACUGGUCUCAACUGGCAAUACUUGAUAUGAGAUUUGAACCUAAAUCGUUUCUUAAUUAACAUUUGUCAGAAAAAAAAAAUAUGUAUAUGGAGAAAGCGAAAAAACCACGAGUAUAACAAAAUUUGUAUAUUUUCGUUUUUUUGCCUCCCUCUUUUGCACUCAUGAGAGAAACUCAAGAAAUGACAAGAAGACAAGGCGAGAGAACCCCAUAAAAGAGAGAGCUUUAAUUUGCACACAAACCUUCCUGCCUUCAAGAACUUGCUGUACUCUUUCUCGAGAGAGUGAGGAGGGGACAAAAAGGAGGGAAAUAAAAAGGUGGAAAAAGAAAUUGAUGAAGAAGAAUGCUGUGGUUCAAGUAAGAGGGUGUUUCUUGGAUAUAUAUACAAGUAAUAAAGCGGCAAAGGGAUGGAAAUAUACCUCUCUGCCCUCUUCCCUCGGUCAGCAACCCACACGCUUUUCCAUUUCCCUUGCCGUUUUAUCUACUUCGACACUUGCAGUAAUAACUUCGCCUAAAAAAUCUUAUAUUAUUUAUUUUAUUGGAAGUUGUCAGUGUUCUGGCCAAUUGGAUCGAAGUAAAGGCUUUCUUUCCUUAUGCCAAGCUAUCAGUUAAAUUAAUUUACUAAAUUAUGUAAACGUAAGAUGAUCGACGGCUUGUCUUGGAGUCAGCUGGAACAGUCACCAUGAACCGUGGUCCAUAGCCAUGAAUGCUCUUUCUCCAAGCCUGCACCAGUCAAAGAGUUGUCCUUUCUAACAGUUCUAGCGAGCGUGGGAGGGGGUGAGAAGGAAACUCUAGUUUUUGUUCCACGUAGUCGUCGGUCAACAUUUUGGACAUUAAUUUGAGUUAAAAAGUGGUCUGAAUUUCGUGGAUGGAGGCAUAGUUAUUAAGCCCGAUCCGGGGUUGACCCGGCAAGGGACCGGGUCUCGGGUUUCAUGGGUCAACCCGGGUUGACCCAUAAUAAUUUAAAAAAAAAUUAAUAUUUCAUAUGAAAAAAUUCAUGUAAAUAUAGAUUAUACAUAUAAAUAAUGAAGUUUAAAAUAAUAUUUUAAAAAGUUUUUUAUCCCAUAUUAAAAAGAUAUUAUGUUAAGCUUUUAAGUUGAAGUAUUUAAAUUAAAAAAGUUUUUUAUUCUACAUUGGAAAAACAUAACUUUUUUCAUGGGAACAUAGAGUAUAUAUAUGAAAGGGCUUCAAAUCCCACAUUGAAAAUAUAUUAUGUUAUCCCUUUAAGUUGAAGUAUUUAAACCAAAAGGUUUUUUAUCCCACAUUGAAAAAACAUGAUUUUUUCCUUGAGAACAUAGAGUAUAUAUACUAAUGGGUUUCAAAUCCACAUUGAAAAAAUAUAACUUUUUUCAUUGGAACAUAGAGUAUAUAUAUGAAAGGGCUUCAAAUCCACAUUGAAAAGAUACUAUGUUAUCCCUUUAAGUUGAAGUAUUUAAACCAAAAGGUUUUUUAUCCACAUUGAAAAAACAUGAUUUUUUUCUUGGGAACAUAGAGUAUAUAUACUAAUGGUUUCAAAUCCCACAUUGAAAAAACAUAACUUUUUUAUGGAAACAUAGAGUAUAUAUAUAAAAGGCUUCAAAUCCCACAUUGAAAAGAUACUAUGUUAUCCCUUUAAGUUGAAGUAUUUAAACCAAAAGGUUUUUUAUCCCACAUUGAAAAAACAUGAUUUUUUCCUUGGAAACAUAGAGUAUAUAUACUAAUGGGUUUCAAAUCCCACAUUGAAAAAAUAUAAUUUUUUUCAUGUGAACAUAGAGUAUAUAUAUGAAAGGGCUUCAAACCCCACAUUGAAAAGAUAUUAUGUUAUCAUUUUAAGUUGAAAUAUUUAAACAAAAUUUUUUUUUAUCCUACAUUUAAAAAAAAAAAAAAACCCGGGUCUCGUCCGGGUUUGCCCGGGUCACCCGGGUCCCAGGUCGACCCACCGGGUCGCCCGGGUUUGGCCGGGCUGUUGCCACAGCCGGUCUUUUAUUAAACCCGAACCGGUCCAGCCACCGGGUAGACCGCCGGGCCGGGCCGGGUUUAAUAACUAUGGAUGGAGGGAUGCGUUUUGAUCGAUUGUCAUGCUUCGUAGCAGUUUCUGUAAGGACAAACAUGUAGGAAUGGGCCACCCUCCCUAAAGUCUACAAGAGGGCCACCCUGUACUGUAUACUAUUGUCGUUUGUGAUGUGACUGCCCUUAAUUUUAAGGCACUGAUUAUAUAUAAGAUAAUUUUAGUUUAAUUAUUUUGGUCUAACGAUUUGGUGUGUGUUUAUAUUAAAAAAAAAAAAAUUUAGUGAUUAUGAAAUUAAAAAUAUAAAAAACUAUUUUAAUUUAUUUUUAAAUAAAAAUACAUUUAAAAAGUAUUGUGCAUCAUGAUAGUCUUGUUAUUGUUCCACGUAGUCGUCGGUCAACAUUGACACUUGAGUUAAAAAGUGGUCUGAAUUUCGUGGAAGGAAGGGAUCGAUUGUUACACUUCUUAGCAGCCACUGUAAAGACAAACGAGUAGGAAGGGGCCACCCUCCCUAAAGUCUACAAGAGGGCCACCAUGACUAUAAACUAUGGUCGUUUGUGAUGUGACUGCCCUUAAUUUUAAGGCAAUGGUUAUACAUAUAAAAGAUAAUUUUAGUUUAAUUAUUCUGGUCGUUUGGGUUUGAAUUUUAAAAAUGUGUUUAUCUAAAAAAAUAAAAUUUUAUUGUCUUCUUCUAUGAUUUUAACAUGCUGAUAUUACAGUUAAAAAAAUAUAAAAACUAUUUUAAUUUAUAAAAAAAAUACAUUUAAAAAGUAUUAUACACCAUAAUAUUAAAACACAAUUCGAGCAAAUUUUUUUUUUCUUUACAAUGUUUGUUCUAUUGGGAUAUUAUAUGUAUUGGUCAUUGUGGUACAAAGUCCUUUUAAAAAUAUUUUUUACUUCAAAAUUUAUUAAAAUGAUUUUUAUUUAUUUUUUAUAUUAAUACAUUAAAAUCAUUAAAAUAUAUUAAAAAAUAUAUCAAUUUGAUAUUUUUUUAAGUGAAAUAUUUUUAAAACACAUCAAAAAAUAGAAAUUAUCACACUUUUAAACACUAAUAGCUCAUCAUGACCAAUUUAUUAUUCCAUGGAUGAGAAAGAGAAUCGGAUAUACAUGGAGGCUAUUUGGGGUUGAUGUGCAACCCUUUCAAGAUUUUUGAAUUUAUUUUAUUUAAAAUUGUAUUUUUUAUAGUGAUAUUAAAAAUAAUUUUUUUAAAUAUAUAUAUAUAUAUAUAUAAUUUUAAUAUAUUUUUAAAUAAAAAAUAUCAUAAAAAUAAUCUGCACCUAACUCAGCUGUAAACUCGUCACAAGUAUACCAUGUACAUGCAUGUAUCAAAAACCAGCUGAACAAUUUGGUCAAAAUACGUGUACUUUCUUGAUGAUAAAAUUAAUGGCUUUAUGGAAAUGAUGAUUGUUAGAAAGAUUUGAAGUCAUUGGUGAUAAACUCAAAGAAUAAGGAUGAUUAAAACUCUUCUGUUCAUUUAAUUUUGUUAUAUAAAAUAAAUAAAAUUUGAUCAAAGUCAUGGUAACUUGAACCCAAAAAUACUUAGAGGUGACCUCAGCCUUUCGUCGUCGGUAUCAAUUUUCCCCUUCUUCCUGGCAAUGUAUGAGUGUGAAUGUGACCUCCUUGUCUUGCAAAAUUUCUAUGCCCCGCCACCCGGCUUGCUGUCCAUUUGGGCAUCUUUCAUUUGUCAUCCACAGUUGACCUCUAUAGUCAACUCCAUCAUUUCGUGAUUAUUAGAAAACAAAAAUAUGUUAACGAGGGUGGGGGCAGAGCGAGUUGUGUUAACCUACGAAGAUGAGGAGAAAGGGUGAAUAAUACUUCUAUUUAUUUGAUGAAAUUUUUUGUUAGUAUUUAUAUUAUUAUCUUAUUAAUAAUUAAUUUAUUAAUUAAAUUACAUAAGAAAAUAUUUUGUUAGUGAAUAAUUCAUCAGUAAUUUUUUAUUUAUUGAUAAUUAAAAAAUAUUAUUAUCGAUGAAUUUACUGACAAGAAAAUCACAUAAAAAAUAAAAUUAUUCACUUUAUUCCAUUCGUAUUUCACUCAGAAGAUUGUCAUAGAACAAAAAAAAAAAUAACAUAUGCAAUUUUGUCGUUGAUUAUUUAAAAAUAUAUAUUUAAAAAAAAUCUAUUUAACAAAAAAAGAAAAUAAUUAAAUUAAUAUAAAUUAACACUUCAUAAUGCUCAGAAUUGAAUUGCUUGGAAAAAAGAGAGAAGAAAAUCAACUCAAACAAAUUUGCAACACAUAAAUAACACAAAAAAAAUAAAACAACAACAACAUUGAUCUUAUAUGAAAAAACAUCCUACAACAAAUAUUCAUACAAUUAUUAAGAACAAAUUUUUUUAAAAAAAAAAUAUAAUAAAAAAAACACAUAAAAAAAAAUCUUAACUUAAUAUAGUUGCGAGUGAAGUUGAGAAGAAAAAAAAAUUAAUUAAGUAUGUUAAUUAAAAAAACUGAGAAGAGAAAAGAAAAAAAAAAGAGAAGAAAACAUACUUAAGAGUGAAGGAGAAGAGGAGUUAAGGAGAGAAGGGAAGGGAAGAGAAAGAAAAAAAGAAAUGUUGAUGUUUUUAUAUAACAGCAAAAAGAAGAAGAAGAAAAGGAAGAAGAAGAAGAGGUCCAUCUGUUGUGAAAUGACGAAUUCUAUUUAUUGGGACAUUUUAUCUACGGUUUUAUCGAUAGAUAAUUAAAUAUUAAUAUUUCUAACCAUUUUAUCGGUGACUUUUUUUGUAAUAUUUAAUUUAAAUUUUCAAUGUAAUAAAAAAAUUCAGAGACCACUAAAUAUCAUCGAUAACUUUUCAAUCAAUUGGUGAUUCCAUCUGUAAUAUUUAAUUUACUCAAAAAAUUUUAGAAACCCACCAAAUAACAACGACGACUUUUUAAUUCGUUGGUGAUUUUGUCUAUAAAAAACAUUAAUUAACAUUGCAACUGGAAAGUGAUAUGGAAAAUAAUGACAGAAUGUUUCGUUGGUGAUUCCCUUUGUAAUUGAUAUGAUAAACAGUGUUAGGGAGAAGUGAACAAUUUACCAAUGAUUUUACCGACAUAAUUAAUUUUGUUGGUAUAAAUGACAUGUCAUCAUAUUUUUUGGCUUUAUUUUAAUUUUUUUUCCAUCAUAAUUUUUUCGGUAUAUACCAAGAAAAUAUUUUUAUCAGUAAAAUUCGCUGCAAUUUAUCAAUGAAAAUAUUUCGUUAAUAUUUCAAUUUGUAUUUAUUAAUUUUCUAGUAAUGAAAGUUGCUGUUAACACCUAAGUUACUGAGGAUUUGUAGCUCCGCUAGUAAUUUAUAACUCUUCGAUGCGUAAACCAUAAUAACCCGUUUGAUAUAUGUAGUCGUGAAAAUAUUAUAAGCAAAAAUAUUGCAUAAAAACUAAAACCACCAUUAGAAUAUUGAACCAUAUAUAUAAAACGGGAUGGAUUGAGGUGAAAUGUGAUAAAAGUAACUCAAUGUUUUAAAUUUUCUUUUUUCAUUGGCAAGUAUAGAGAUGAAGCAUGUUGUGAUAUAAUAGAUAUUGAUGCUUACAGUCUUAUAUUUGAUAGGUCUUGGGUAGAGAUAAUUUGUAUAAACUCAGUAAAGAUACUGCAAGUUUUUACUAUUGUGUUCUUGAUGAAAAAACCUCAACCCAAAGCUUUUAAAAUGAAGUAUUUCUUUAUUGUCAUCAAUUCAGAGCAUGAGAUAUUUAUUAGACAGUUAAGCCUUUACUUGGUGAAUUUGAAAUAAUGCAAAUUUUACUCUUGUGUGUUAAAAAAGAAAUCCCAACCAAAAGCUUCUAAAGAAGAGGAGAUGAUCUUCCUUUCUAUAACCAAUUAAGAACAUAAUAUGCUAAAAUGUAUACGAAAAACUAGACAUUUUUACAAAUUAAUUGUGAAAGCAUUGGUGGUUGAGAAGAGUUAGGUAGACAUUUUUCAGGCGAUUAAACUUGUUUUUGGUGAAUUUUAUGAGAUUCUAUAGAUUAAUUAAUAGGAGAGUUACCACUAAUGAGAGGUAUUCAACAUAAGAUAGAUUUGGUAUCAAGAGCUAACCUUCUAAAUCUACCAUAUUAUAGAAUAAAUUCUAAAAAGCGUGAGAUAUUAAAGGAUACAAUAAAUGAGUUGUUGAGAAAAAGCUUGACAAUUUGAUUCAAAGUAUUUACAUUGACAAGUCAAAAUAGUAGGAUGUUGCACUUGAAAAGUCAGAAUUCAUAUACAACAAUGUCGAACAUAAUACAAAACGUAAAACAUCAUUCAAAAUUAUGUAUCUGUAGUGUCCUAGGCAUGUACUUUAUCUUGUAUCAAUAUAGAAAGGUAUUGAAUAUAUGUAACUGUUAUAAAAAAGAUAAUUGUGAAUACACUAUGAUGUUUUGUAUUAAAGGGAUAGGAAAAGCCUAGAAAGCCCUUGAAGGCUUAGAUGUAGGAAUAAAUUAAAUAAGGGUAUAGUAGUAAUUGGAUAAAUAAUUGAUAAAUAUAAAUAGGAAGUAAAAAAAAAAAAAAAAGAAAGUGAUCUGAAAUUAGAGAGCAAAACCGUGAGAGAGAAGAGAGAAAGAAGAAGAAGAGAAAAGAAGGGAAAAUAAGGGAAAAAGGAAGAGUUUUGGAGGAAAUAAGUGAAAAAGGUAAGAUUUAGGUUGUUUAAUGUGUAUAAUAUGUUAAUUAAGCUUUAAUUUCAGUUUUUAUGAAUGUUAGGGUUUUGAGAAUUUGUGUUUGAUUUAAAUUGAUGAAUUAAAUUGAAGGUUAGGGGUUGAUUGUUGUGUUUAAUUGAUGAUUUAGUUGAUUAUGGAAGAUUAUGAUGAUUUUGAGUUAUAGAAUUGUGUAAAUGGUGAAAAUUGAGUUAGAAAUCAGGGGAGAACAGUGGGGUUUCUGUUAAAAUCUGGACUGGAGGUUGAAGAUGACGAAAAUUCAAUUUGGUCCCUCAAUUUCCGAAAAUUUCAGUUUAGUCCCCGAACUUUGGAAAAUUACAAAUUGGUCCCUGGAGCAUAUUCCGAGAUUCUGAACAGAAUAGAAUAUGAAUUAUGGACAGAAUUACUGUAUAGAUAAGAUAAUUUAACACUUUCAAUUUAGUCCUCCAAUUUGAUAAAAAGUACGAUUUGACCCUAAAAAUUUAGUAAAAUUCCAGAAUGAUCCCUGAAGCAUAAUGAUACAUCCUGGACAGAAUUGAGGAUUUAUUUAAGGUCAGAAUUUCAGUAUAUUCAUGGAUUUAUGACAAAUUUCAGUUUGGUCCUCCAUUUGACAAAAGUUACAUUUUGGCCCUAAAAAAUGGAAAAAUUCCAGAUUAGUCCCUAGCUGUAAGAUUAGCUUUUUCAGAUUAGUUUGAUGAAUAAUUAAGGGUUAUUUAGUGAAUUAUUACCAAUUUUAUUAGUUGUUUUUAUUAUGGAUUAGAUUUCGGGAAAACCGUUAGAUUUUGGGUUUUUAAGAAAAUUGACUAGUUAGUUCAAAAAUAUAUAGGGUUACGGAAUACACCCUUAGUUAAGUGUAUUAAAUAGGUUAAAUGUUCUUUCGAGUCGUUCUUGAAUAUGUCUCCUUUGUAUUCAGAUAAUCCUGAUAUUCUACCGGCAGGACGUCAGUAGAAUUUCCUUCGGUUUCAGCUUGUGUGUGCUGUUUGCUUUUGAGUCAAGUGAGUGGAUAAUUUUCCAUAUGCAUGAGAAAUAUUAUAAAUAUUUGAUUUGUUAAUAUGAAUUGGAUCAUGCUUCUUGAUAAUAUAUAUGCUGAUUAUUAUCCUUGAUAUGAUAAAGCAUGAUCAAUUAUUGAAUCUGAUUUCUUGAUAUGAACCAAUAUGAUUUGACUUCUGAAUUGAUAGCUCCUCAUUUGAUGGAUGUCAUGAGUUGAGCUUUGAGAUAUGAAUAUGUUUGUUUGAUUAUGAUUAUGAACCUAUGGUAUGUCAGUCAGAAUACCCAUGCUAACAGGGUAGUGUUAGUCUUUGUGCACAUCGUAUCUGAACCCUAGUUGGUCGGGGGAGUCACCAACCUGUGUGGACUGAUCAUCCCACAGUACGGAGCCUCAUGCUCAUUGCAUUUUGAUUUUCUGACAAGUUUUACCAUAUGAUAUUCUUGUUAUGGCCUAUUUUGAUAAACCUUCGUAUAAGAACUAAAGCCAUACUUGUAUAUAUAUUUCUCAUUGUUAUAUUACCUCGUAUGUGUAUAUUGAAUGUUAUCUACUCACUGAGUUGUUGAACUCACCCUCUCAUUAUUUAUCCUUUUCAGGCUUAUAGCUUGAUAGCAGGUUACUUUUGUUGAACCUUCCGAACCUGCCUUUUGGUUGUAAUUUGUACCUUCCUUUUGUGUCAAGUUAGUGCUCCAAAACUAUGAAAUUAUUAACUCUUGUAUUAAGACAAUCGAAUUAUAUUAUGAAGUUGUUUGUUGUUAAUACUGCGUUAAACUCUGAUUGAGUUGUUUAAAGGAUUGUAUGUAAGUUUGGGUUCGCAUAGGUUUGGAACCUUGGAGGGGAACCUUGCCUAUGUGCCGGUCAUGGAUCCGGGAUUCGGGUCGUGACAUACACGGACUAUACAUAUAAAGAUGAGAAACAAAUUGCAACAAAUCCAUGUCAAAUACAAGAAGAUUGUCAAUAAAAACCAUUAACUGUGCUUAAGUAUUUGAGGAAUGAGAUAUGUUGAUGAUUUACGCGGUAACUUGCAAGGCUGAGGAACACAGAGCAGGGGGGGAGACACUCGAUAACAAGCAGAGGUAUAUUGAAAAAUCUAUCAAGAGUUUAGCUAACAUGUAAUAGAGAACUGGAUAAAGAAAAAAUUUAAACCAACGGUGCUGUCCUGUUAUAUGAACUUUGCUCCACAUUUGGCACCGACCCCUCAUCAGUCU
rnacentral:lncRNA from 1 species